rnacentral:rRNA from 1 species
CCUACGGGAGGCAGCAGUAGGGAAUCUUUCACAAUGGGCGAAAGCCUGAUGGAGCAACGCCGCGUGCAGGAUGAAGGCCUUCGGGUUGUAAACUGCUUUUAUAAGCGAGAAAUAUGAUGGUAACUUAUUAAUAAGGAACGGCUAACAACGUGCCAGCAGCCGCGGUUAUACGUAGGAUACGAGCAUUAUCCGGAGUGACUGGGUGUAAAGAGUUGCGUAGGUGGCAUAAUAAGUAGCUAGUGAAAUCUGGUGGCUCAACCAUUCAGACUAUUAGCUAAACUGUUAAGCUCGAGAGCGUUAGGGGUAGCUGGAAUUUAUAGUGUAGGAGUGAAAUCCGUAGAUAUUAGAAAGAACACCAAUAGCGUAGGCAGGUUACUGGGACGGUUCUGACACUAAGGCACGAAAGCGUAGGGAGCAAACGGGAUUAGAUACCCUUGUAGUC